rnacentral:rRNA from 1 species
CCCAGACUCCUACGGGAGGCAGCAGUGAGGAAUAUUGGUCAAUGGGCGCGAGCCUGAACCAGCCAAGUCGCGUGAGGGAUGACGGUCCUACGGAUUGUAAACCUCUUUUGCCGGGGAGCAAGCGUGCGUUCGUGAACGCACGUCGAGAGUACCCGGAGAAAAAGCAUCGGCUAACUCCGUGCCAGCAGCCGCGGUAAUACGGAGGAUGCGAGCGUUAUCCGGAUUUAUUGGGUUUAAAGGGUGCGUAGGCGGGAUGCCAAGUCAGCGGUAAAAAUGCGGUGCUCAACGCCGUCGAGCCGUUGAAACUGGUUUUCUAGAGUUGGAGAGAAGUAUGCGGAAUUCGUGGUGUAGCGGUGAAAUGCAUAGAUAUCACGAAGAACUCCGAUUGCGAAGGCAGCAUACCGGCUCCAUACUGACGCUGAGGCACGAAAGCGUGGGGAUCGAACAGGAUUAGAUACCCGCGUAA